rnacentral:rRNA from 1 species
UUCGUGUGAACAGUGGUUGAUCACGAGUUAGUCGGUCCUAAGUUCAAGGCGAAAGCCGAAAAUUUUCAAGUAUUUCAAAAAUCAAUAUAUAUAGCAAUCCACUGACUUUUCAAGCACUUGAAUAAUUUUGAACGAAAGGGAAUACGGUUCCAAUUCCGUAACCUGUUGAGUAUCCGUUUGUUAUUAAAUAUGGGCCUCGUGCUCAUCCUGGCAACAGGAACGACCAUAAAGAAGCCGUCGAGAGAUAUCGGAAGAGUUUUCUUUUCUGUUUUAUAGCCGUACUACCAUGGAAGUCUUUCGCAGAGAGAUAUGGUAGAUGGGCUAGAAGAGCAUGACAUAUACUGUUGUGUCGAUAUUUUCUCCUCGGACCUUGAAAAUUUAUGGUGGGGAUACGCAAACUUCUCAACAGGCCGUACCAAUAUCCGCAGCUGGUCUCCAAG